UCGCACGAGAACGUUCUGGCUUUGCCAGAACAAGUACAGUGGCGGACGGGUGCGUAUCGCGUAGAUAACCUGCCCUUAGGCGCGGGACAAUCACGGGAAACCGUGGCUAAUACCGCACGUCGUCUGGGCCCCGCAUGGGGACCAGAUGAAAGCUUGGGGUUACCCAGGCGCCUUGGGAUGGGUCUGCGUUGGAUUAGCUUGUUGGUGAGGCAACGGCUCACCAAGGCGACGAUCCAUAGCUGGUCUGAGAGGACGAUCAGCCACACUGGGACUGAGACACGGCCCAGACUCCUACGGGAGGCAGCAGUGGGGAAUCUUGCACAAUGGGGUCACCCCUGAUGCAGCCAUGCCGCGUGGAGGAAGACACCCCUAUGGGGCGUAAACUCCUUUUCUGAACGAAGAAACCCCUGUAGGUUCAGGGCGCGACGGUAGUUCAGGAAUAAGCACCGGCUAACUCCGUGCCAGCAGCCGCGGUAAUACGGAGGGUGCAAGCGUUGUCCGGAAUCACUGGGUGUAAAGGGUGUGCAGGCGGGGCAACAAGUCGGAUGUGAAACCCCAUGGCUCAACCAUGGAGGUGCAUUCGAAACUGUUGCUCUUGAGUCCCGGAGAGGCUGUCGGAAUUCGUGGUGUAGCGGUGAAAUGCGUAGAUAUCACGAGGAACACCAGAGGCGAAAGCGGGCAGCUGGACGGGUACUGACGCUCAGGCACGAAAGCGUGGGGAGCAAACAGGAUUAGAUACCC
rnacentral:rRNA from 1 species